rnacentral:rRNA from 1 species
AUGUUGAACGAAGAAAAUAUCUCGGCCAAGCAUUGUAAGGUGUUGUCUAUUGUUGGAUUCGGUGGAUUAGGAAAGACAACACUGGCAAAUGAGGUUUAUCGGAAGAUUGAAGGGCAUUUUGAUUGUCAGGCUUUCGUAUCGGUCUCACAAAAGCAUGUUAUACAGAAAAUUAUCAAGGAUGUGAUCUACAAAGUGCCUUGCCCCGAUGGAUUUAUGAAAGAUAUUGACAAUUGGGACGAAACGACAUCCAUUGCAAAGCUAAGAGAAUUGCUACAGGAUAAAAGGUAUAUCGUCAUAAUUGAUGAUAUAUGGUGCACACAAGCAUGGAACACUAUCAAGUGUGCUUUCCCGGAGAAUAACCGUUCUAGCAGAAUUAUGACCACUACACGCAUUAUGGACGUGGCAAGUUCAUGUUGUCCAGGUGGCGAUGAUCAUGUGUAUGAAAUGGCAGCCCUAAGUGAUCUUCAUUCCAAAAUGUUGUUUCUCAAGAGAAUUUUUGGCUCCGAGGACCGCUGCCCUGAUAUGCUGAAAGAAGUUUCCAAUCAAAUCCUAAAAAAAUGUGGGGGCCUCCCAUUGGCAAUUCUUAGUAUAGCUAGUAUGUUAGCAAAUAGACCAGCUGUCAAGGAGGAGUGGGAGCAGAUUAAAAGAUCAAUUGGGUCUGCACUGGAAAAAGAUCGAAGUCUAGAGGGAGUGAGUAGCAUACUGUCCCUUAGCUACAAUGAUCUUCCACCUAAUCUCAAGACUUGUUUAUUGUAUUUAUGUAUAUUCUCUGAGGAUUAUGUGAUUAAUAGAGAGAGGUUAGUGAGGCGGUGGAUAGCGGAAGGAUUUAUCUCUGAAGAGCGUGGACAAAGCCGGCAAGAAGUCGCUGAGAGAUAUUUCUACGAGCUUAUCAACAAAAGCAUGGUACAGCCUGAGGACAUCGGCUAUGAUGGCAAGGCUCGUGCUUGCCGAGUCCAUGACAUGAUGUUAGAAAUUAUUAUUUCAAAAUCAAAUGAAGAUAAUUUCAUAGUUGUGGUAGGUGGUGGCCAAACGAAUUUGGCUAAUCGUCAAGAUUUUAUACGGCGACUAUCAAUCCAGCACAUUGAUCAUGAGCUUGCACAUUUACUCGCACAAGAAGAUCUAAGCCAUGUUCGAUCUCUGACAGUAACAUCGUCAGCUUGCAUCAAACACUUGCCGAGUCUUGCUAAAUUUGAAGCUCUACGUGUAAUAGAUUUUGAAGGCUGUGAGGGUUUGGAACAGUAUGAUAUGAAAAGUAUUGGCAAAUUGCUCCAACUAAAGUACAUUAACUUUAGAGGCACGAGUAUAUCAAAGCUACCACCAGGGAUCAUGAUGCUACGUGACCUAGAGACCCUAGAUUUUGGAUUUACACAAGUGGAAGAGUUGCCAGCUGGAUUUGUUCAGCUGUCUAAACUACAACACCUAAUUGGUGGAAAUAGGACAAUUAUACCAAACAAGAUUGGGAAUAUGAGGAACUUACGACAGAUAUCAGGGUUUAGUAUUACCGGGAGUCCAGAAGAUUCGGUGGAGGAUCUUGGAAACCUGCCAGGUUUAGAGGAAAUCGAUGUACAUCUCAUUGGAGGAUCUUUCAAGUUCAGGAGGCAUGAAGAAAUGUUACUUUCCUCACUGUGCAAGCUUGGCAGCUGCAAGCUCCAGUCUUUAUGGAUAAGUAGGCACUGUGGUUCCCUCGAGUUCUUAGAAUCAUGGUCCCCAUUGCCAAUAUCCCUUAAGGUAUUCUAUAUGGACAGCGACUACUAUUUCACGAAAGUUCCAGAGUGGAUUGCUCCAGCACCAACCAGCCUUUCUUUCCUAUACAUCAAUUUAGCUGAACUAACAGAGGAAAGUUUGCACACACUUGGGGAGCUCCCGGGCUUACUUUGCCUAAAACUACGGUGGAAAACAAACCCAGGAGAAAGGCUUACAGUCCAGGGCACUGGGUUCCCAAGUCUGAAGAAGUUGGUGCUAUAUGAUUGCGCAUACGUUACAUUUGUAAAAGGGGCUAUGCCCAAGCUUGAGAACCUCAAGCUGUCAUUUGCUGUGUCAGUAGCAAAAAGUUAUGGCUUCUAUUUAGGCAUUGAACAUCUCACAUGUCUCAAAAAAGAAAGGGUACUCUUUGAAACUGAAGAUUCAGAAAGCAAGGCUGCAGUUGCUGCAAUCACUAAGGAAGUAGGUGCCCAUCCCAACCAUCCUAUACUUAGUGUCAGUGGCCCCAUUCAUUUCACCGAGCACACCUGUUCUCUGCCUGGAACUCGGGAAGUGAUACGGCCUAUGAAGAGGUGGCCAACAAUGAGGAAAAUGUCAAGGAGGAUAGCGACAGUCCGAUUCGAGGGAACUGAAAUGGUCAUUGCCCCUAUGCAGUGUUCCUCCUGGUUAUAUGGCACAUGCUUGAGGGUAUGA